AACGCACAUUGCGCCCUUUGGUAUUCCGAAGGGCAUGCCUGUUCGAGCGUCAUUAUCACCCCUCAAGCCCGGCUUGCUGUUGGCGGCGGCGCGGCCUCACCGGCCCUGCCCCGCCCAAAGAUAAUGACGGCGUCUGCGAGGACCCCUGUACACUGAGCUCUCGGGCACGUACACGGUUAGGCACUCCGGGCGCCGGUCACCGUCCCGUCAGGGACACUUUUACCAAGGUUGACCUCGGAUCAGGUAGGGAUACCCGCUGAACUUAA
rnacentral:misc_RNA from 1 species